AGCCGCGAGGCGGAGCUAAUCGCAGCAAAACCGGCCUCAGUUCGGAUAGGAGGCUGCAACCCGCCUCCUUGAAGUCGGAGUUGCUAGUAAACGCCGGUCAGCCAUACGGCGUUGAAUACGUUCCCGGGCCUUGUACACACCGCCCGUCACGUCAUGGGAGCUGGUAACACCUGAAGUCGGUGUGCUAACCCCCCUUCGGGAGGGAGGCAGCUGCCGAGGGUGGGACCGGUGACUGGGACGAAGUCGUAACAAGGUAACUGUACCGGAAGGUGCGGCUGGAACACCUC
rnacentral:rRNA from 1 species